UCAAGAUGCUAGGAUAAACCCUUCACUUCCUCACACAACCAAAAGGAGGAUAACAACCAAUCUAAAAACAAUGAACAACCAGAAGUGCCAGAAAAUCAAACUGCAUGGAACUCUGACAAUGAAGGAAUUAAAGACACAGUCAACCAGACCAACCUGACCAGUAAGAGGG